GGUGUGGUAUGGAUGAUUUCAUACAUGAAGAAUAUUGGCGGUCACGACCCAAAGGACAACAUUAACCGAUGUCUAUCCCGUGUUUUUACUAACAAUUUAGGGGUACAGUGCUCCUGGAUGGGCCACAGAGGCAAUUUCAAGGUUCAAAACCUCACGAUCAUGAACGCUAUUAUUGAAGUGGUAAUGCUGCGCUACAAUAGCUUAAUUCAACUCAGCGAUCUUGAGCGAAAUGUGGGAGAAUGGUUUCGUCUUAGCAAACAAAGACUGCAGCGAGGCAAGGAAAAGGAUAAGGAAAAUGUCAACAAUUCGUAGUAUACGUUUGUCCUGAAGCAAUAUUUAAGAAUUCAUUUUAUUUAUUUUCCUGUUGAUUGUUGUUUUUUAUAAAUUGUA